rnacentral:piRNA from 1 species
AGCACCCGUGGGAGGUGGUUCCUUU